rnacentral:lncRNA from 1 species
GGAAGGGGCAAUCGGAGUGGACAUCAGGCAGGUAGGAGGUGGUGCAGGUAUGUACCAGCGGACAUACACAGGGGAACCUCGGGUCCCCCCCGGUCCAGGCAGCUUUUCUCCCUAGGCCAGUGGUGGACACUGCCCAGGGACAAUGGUGGUGUCCAGAGUCACCGCUGGUCAUUUCAGCGGGGUGACGCUAUUGGUGGCAGUCAGAAGUGCUGCUUCAAUGCCCGAGACAGCCCGAGCAGUGGGGAAUCGCCAGCCCACAUCAUCAGCAGGCCAGGUGAGAGGCCCGGCCCGAGCCAGGCUACCUUGCCCCAUUUUACGCUCACAGAAGGACCUUCACUGCCUGCUAUUCUGCUUUUGUCACUGUUGUACACAGUAGCCGUGACCAUAUCUGCCACUACAACCAACGAUAUUCCUGAGGACACCGGCAGCGUCAUCACGAGAGCCCUGUGUCUGGGCACCGUGGUCACCACGCCACAUGCUCCCCAUGUGGCAGCUCUUGCCAAGGUUGCACCAACCAGCCUACAAGGUGUUUCGAUGACUUCGGCCCACCUGAAGCAUUCAGGACAAUCUUUCCCACCUCAAGCCUCUCCCUCUCCCCACACCUGUCCGGCUGCUAUGUGAAGAAGUCACACACAUGAGAAAAGGCAGCUGCUCACCUCAGUCCCUUCAGGACCUCACCAUCCAAAUCUCUAGCCACAGCUCAAAGACCACCCUUCCAGACCUUCCCAGACAAUUCUUUCCAGACUCCCUUGUUUAUUUUUCCAAAACGCUUCUUUCAUGUGUAAGGAGGACAAAGGAGAAGUCCCAAAGACAAAGUUCUGGAGAGGACCAGAAUACCUAGCAACCCCUUUAAGUAACAUUCUGUGGCCUAUGUCUUCUCCAUAGAAACUUUCUAGUUUUCAGAAACUUCUUCUGUCUCAUUUGUCCCCAAACUCCUCACCCCCCAGCCAAGUGCAAGAACAAUGCUG